rnacentral:misc_RNA from 1 species
CAGAGUUCAUGCCCUUCGGGGUAGAUCUCCCACCCUAUGUAUUUAUACCUUUGUUGCUUUGGUGGGCCGCCAGGCUUCGGCCAGGCUACCGGCUUCGGCUGGUAAGCGCCCGCCAGAAGACCUAAAACUCUGAAUGUUAGUGUCGUCUGAGUACUAUAUAAUAGUUA